ACUCCUACGGGAGGCAGCAGUAGGGAAUAUUGGGCAAUGGGCGGAAGCCUGACCCAGCCAUGCCGCGUGAAGGAAGACGGCCUUCUGGGUUGUAAACUUCUUUUAUACAGGAAGAAAAGGCCAUGCGAUGGCCAAUUGACGGUACUGUAUGAAUAAGCACCGGCUAACUCCGUGCCAGCAGCCGCGGUAAUACGGAGGGUGCAAGCGUUGUCCGGAUUUAUUGGGUUU
rnacentral:rRNA from 1 species